CGCUGUAGUUUGAUCCUGGCUCAGAAUGAACGCUAGCGGCAGGUCUUAACACAUGCAAGUCGAGGGGUAUAGUUCUUCGGAACUAGAGACCGGCGCACGGGUGCGUAACGCGUAUGCAAUCUACCUUUUACAGAGGGAUAGCCCAGAGAAAUUUGGAUUAAUACCUCAUAGUAUGUGAGAAUCGGCAUGGUUUUCACAUUAAAGUUCCAACGGUAAAAGAUGAGCAUGCGUCCCAUUAGCUAGAUGGUAAGGUAACGGCUUACCAUGGCAACGAUGGGUAGGGGUCCUGAGAGGGAGAUCCCCCGACACUGGUACUGAGACACGGACCAGACUCUACGGGGAGCAGCAGUGAGGAAUAUUGGACAAUGGGGCGCAAGCCUGAUCCCAGCCAUGCCGCGUGCAGGAUGACGG
rnacentral:rRNA from 1 species